rnacentral:rRNA from 1 species
GACGAACGCUGGCGGCGUGCUUAACACAUGCAAGUCGAACGGAAAGGCCCUGCUUUUGUGGGGUGCUCGAGUGGCGAACGGGUGAGUAACACGUGAGUAACCUGCCCUUGACUUUGGGAUAACUUCAGGAAACUGGGGCUAAUACCGGAUAGGAGCUCCUGCUGCAUGGUGGGGGUUGGAAAGUUUCGGCGGUUGGGGAUGGACUCGCGGCUUAUCAGCUUGUUGGUGGGGUAGUGGCUUACCAAGGCAUUGACGGGUAGCCGGCCUGGGAGGGUGACCGGCCACAAUGGGACUGAGAUACGGCCCAGACGCCUACGGGAGGCAGCAGUGGGGAAUAUGGCACAAUGGGCGGAAGCCUGAUGCAGCAGCGCCGCGUGCGGGAUGACGGCCUUCGGGUUGUAAACCGCUUUCGCCUGUGACGAAGCGUGAGUGACGGUAAUGGGUAAAGAAGCACCGGCUAACUACGUG